rnacentral:rRNA from 1 species
AUCGAACGCUGGCGGCAGGCCUAACACAUGCAAGUCGAACGAGUGGCGGACGGGUGAGUAAUGUCUGGGAAACUGCCUGAUGGAGGGGGAUAACUACUGGAAACGGUAGCUAAUACCGCAUACCAUCAGAUGUGCCCAGAUGGGAUUAGCUAGUUGGUGGGGGAACGGCUCACCAAGGCGACGAUCCCUAGCUGGUCUGAGAGUAUGACCGGCCACACUGGAACUGGGACACGGUCCGAACUCCUACGGGGGGCAGCAGUGGGGAAUAUUGCACAAUGGGCGCAAGCCUGAUGCAGCCAUGCCGCGUGUAUGAAGAAGGCCUGCGGGUUGUAAAGUACUUUCAGCGGGGAGGCGUUACCCGCAGAAGAAGCACCGGCUAACUCCGUGCCAGCAGCCGCGGUAAUUC